UGGGGAAUAUUGGACAAUGGGCGAAAGCCUGAUCCAGCAACGCCGCGUGAGUGAUGAAGGCCUUAGGGUUGUAAAGCUCUUUUACCCGGGAUGAUAAUGACAGUACCGGGAGAAUAAGCUCCGGCUAACUCCGUGCCAGCAGCCGCGGUAAUACGGAGGGAGCUAGCGUUGUUCGGAAUUACUGGGCGUAAAGCGCACGUAGGCGGCUACUCAAGUCAGAGGUGAAAGCCCAGGGCUCAACCUUGGAACUGCCUUUGAAACUAGGUAGCUAGAAUUCUGGAGAGGUCAGUGGAAUUCCGAGUGUAGAGGUGAAAUUCGUAGAUAUUCGGAAGAACACCAGUGGCGAAGGCGACUGACUGGACAGAUAUUGACGCUGAGGUGCGAAAGCGUGGGGAGCAAAC
rnacentral:rRNA from 1 species